rnacentral:rRNA from 1 species
GGACGGGGAGCACUACGAACGGGUGGAGCCUGUCGGUUUAAUUGGAUUCAACCGACCGGAAAUCUCGGACCGGGGGCGACAGCAAUAUGAAGGUCAGGCUGAAGACCUUACCCGAUUAGCUGAGAGGUGGUGCAUGGCCGUCGUCAGUUCGUACUGUGAAGCAUCCUGUUAAGUCAGGCAACGAGCGAGACCCACGUCCACAGUUGCCAGCAUACCCUCCGGGGUGAUGGGUACACUGUGGAGACCGCCGCUGCUAAAGCGGAGGAAGGAGUGGGCAACGGUAGGUCAGUAUGCCCCGAAUCUCCCGGGCUACACGCGGGCUACAAUGGUUGGUACAAUGGGCAUCUACCCCGAAAGGGGAAGGAAAUCUCUUAAAGCCAAUCGUAGUUCGGAUUGAGGGCUGCAACUCGCCCUCAUGAAGCUGGAAUCCGUAGUAAUCGCGUUUCAACAGAACGCGGUGAAUACGUCCCUGCUCCUU